rnacentral:rRNA from 1 species
UAAGGGCGCACGGUGGAUGCCUUGGCACUAGAAGCCGAAGAAGGACGUUACUAACGACGAUAUGCUUUGGGUAGCUGUAAGUAAGCGUUGAUCCAGAGAUUUCCGAAUGGGGGAACCCAACAUGAGUUAUGUCAUGUUAUCGACAUGUGAAUUCAUAGCAUGUCAGAAGGCAGACCCGGAGAACUGAAACAUCUUAGUACCCGGAGGAAGAGAAAGAAAAAUCGAUUCCCUGAGUAGCGGCGAGCGAAACGGGAAGAGCCCAAACCAACAAGCUUGCUUGUUGGGGUUGUAGGACACUCUAUACGGAGUUACAAAAGAACAUGUUAGACGAAUCAUCUGGAAAGAUGAAUCAAAGAAGGUAAUAAUCCUGUAGUCGAAAACAUAUUCUCUCUUGAGUGGAUCCUGAGUACGACGGAGCACGUGAAAUUCCGUCGGAAUCUAGGAGGACCAUCUCCUAAGGCUAAAUACUCUCUAGUGACCGAUAGUGAACCAGUACCGUGAGGGAAAGGUGAAAAGUACCCCGGAAGGGGAGUGAAAGAGAACUUGAAACCGUGUGCUUACAAGUAGUCAGAGCCCGUUUAUGGGUGAUGGCGUGCCUUUUGUAGAAUGAACCGGCGAGUUACGAUCUGAUGCAAGGUUAAGCAGCGAAUGUGGAGCCGUAGCGAAAGCGAGUCUGAAUAGGGCGUCAAGUUCGUUGUAUUAGACCCGAAACCUAGUGAUCUAGCCAUGAGCAGGUUGAAGGUAAGGUAACACUUACUGGAGG